GCCAUGAGAUGUGCCCGCGUUAGAUUAGCUAGUUGGUAAGGUAAUGGCUUACCAAGGCGACGAUCUAUAGCUGGUCUGAGAGGAUGAUCAGCCACACUGGGACUGAGACACGGCCCAGACUCCUACGGGAGGCAUGCAGUGGGGAAUAUUGGACAAUGGGGGCAACCCUGAUCCAUGCCAUGCCGCGUGUGUGAUGACGGCCUUAGGGUUGUAAAGCACUUUCAGCAGUGAAGAUAAUGACAUUAA
rnacentral:rRNA from 1 species